GACGAACGCUGGCGGCGUGCUUAACACAUGCAAGUCGAACGGAAAGGCCCUGCUCUUGUGGGGUGCUCGAGUGGCGAACGGGUGAGUAACACGUGAGUAACCUGCCCUUGACUUUGGGAUAACUUCAGGAAACUGGGGCUAAUACCGGAUAGGAGCUCCUGCUGCAUGGGGGGGGUUGGAAAGUUUCGGCGGUUGGGGAUGGACUCGCGGCUUAUCAGCUUGUUGGUGGGGUAGUGGCUUACCAAGGCUUUGACGGGUAGCCGGCCUGAGAGGGUGACCGGCCACAUUGGGACUGAGAUACGGCCCAGACUCCUACGGGAGGCAGCAGUGGGGAAUAUUGCACAAUGGGCGGAAGCCUGAUGCAGCAACGCCGCGUGCGGGAUGACGGCCUUCGGGUUGUAAACCGCUUUCGCCUGUGACGAAGCGUGAGUGACGGUAAUGGGUAAAGAAGCACCGGCUAACUACGUG
rnacentral:rRNA from 1 species